UACGAAGGGGGCUAGCGUUGCUCGGAUUUACUGGGCGUAAAGGGCGCGUAGGCGGAUUUCUAAGUCGGGGGUGAAAGCCCAGGGCUCAACCCUGGAAUUGCCUUCGAUACGGGCAGGCUAGAGUUCGGUAGGGGAGACUGGAAUUCCGUGGUGUAGCGGUGAAAUGCGCAGGAUAAUCAGGAGGAACACCGGUGGCGAAGGCGGGUCUCGUGGGCAGUGAACUGACGCUGGAGGAGCGAAAGCGUGGGGAGCGAACAGGA
rnacentral:rRNA from 1 species